AAUGGGGGAAACCCUGACGCAGCGACGCCGCGUGAGUGAUGAAGGACUUCGGUUCGUAAAGCCCUGUCGCAUGGGAAUAAUUUUGAAGGUACCAUGUAAGAAAGGAUCGGCUAACUUCGUGCCAGCAGCCGCGGUAAGACGAGGGAUCCAAGCGUUGUUCGGAAUCAUUGGGCGUAAAGCGGACGUAGGCGGCUUUUCAAGUCGGAUGUGAAAUCCCUGGGCUUAACCCAGGAAGUGCAUUCGAUACUGUUAAGCUUGAGUGUGGGAGAGGCUAGUAGAAUUCCUGGUGUAGUGGUGAAAUACGUAGAUAUCAGAAGGAACACCGGUGGCGAAGGCGGCUAGCUGGCCCAACACUGACGCUGAGGUCCGAAAGCGUGGGGAUCAAA
rnacentral:rRNA from 1 species